rnacentral:rRNA from 1 species
CUGGUUGAUCCUACCAGUAAUAUACGCUUGUCUCAAAGGUUAAGCCAUGCAUGUCUAAGUACAAACAUAAAUGAAUGUGAAACCGCAUAAGGCUCAGUAUAACAGCUAUAAUUCACAAGAUCAUCCUACCACUAGUUACUUGGAUAACUGUGGAAAAUCCAGAGCUAAUACAUGCAACAUGCCGGGACUGUUGCCCUCGCGGGUAGCUGAACUGGUGCACUUAUUAGUUAAACCAAUCGCCUCCGGGCGGCUUGAGUUGAAGUCUGGAUAAGGACGCAGAUCGUAUGGUCGCUUGUCGACUGACGACAGAUCUUUCAAAUGUCUGCCCUAUCAACUAUUGAUGGUAGUGUAGAGGACUACCAUGGUUGCGACGGGUAACGGGGAAUCAGGGUUCGAUUCCGGAGAGGGAGCCUGAGAAAUGGCUACCACAUCCAAGGAAGGCAGCAGGCGCGUAAAUUACCCAAUCCCAGUACGGGGAGGUAGUGACGAGAAAUAACAAUAUGGACCUCUCUAACGAUGGUCCAUAAUUGGAAUGAGUUGAGUAUAAAUCCUUCAACAAGGAUCAAGUGGAGGGCAAGUCUGGUGCCAGCAGCCGCGGUAAUUCCAGCUCCACUAGCGUAUAUUAAAGUUGUUGCGGUUAAAACGUUCGAAGUUGAUUGCCCGUCCAGACACGUGACCGCCACGGGCGCCCGGUUACACGCCGGGGCCGUUCGUGCGCGCGCUCACGGCUGCGACUCACAAUGGUGUACUUGGGCGUUACUCUGUGAACGAGUACCGUGCUACCGGUUAACUCCGGCACGGGCUCCUCAUGGUGCUCAAGAUACUCACAUUUACCUUGAACAAAUUAGAGUGCUCAAAGCAGGCUAAGACAAAGCGUCCGGCCCCCCCGUGGGGUUGGCGUUGGCCGAGAAUAAUCUUGCAUGGAAUAAUGGAAUAUGACCUCGGUUUAUACGAUUUCGUUGGUUUGUCAGAAACCUAGAGGUAAUGAUUAACAGAAGUAGUUGGGGGCAUUGGUAUUACGGCGCGAGAGGUGAAAUUCGUAGACCGUCGUAGGACCAACUGAAGCGAAAGCGUUUGCCAUGGAUGCUUUCUUUAAUCAAGACGAAAGUUAGAGGAUCGAAGGCGAUUAGAUACCGCCCUAGUUCUAACCGUAAACGAUGCCAAUUUAGCAAUUGGGAGACGCUACCCCAUUCGGUGCUCUCAGUCGCUUCCGGGAAACCAAAAUCGGGUUCCG